rnacentral:sRNA from 1 species
UCAUCAACAUGUUUGCUGUCCUGGAUGAGCUAAAGAACAUGAAGUGCAGCGUCAAGAACGACCACUCUGCCUACAAGAGGGCAGCACAGUUCCUGCGGAAGAUGGCAGAUCCCCAGUCUAUCCAGGAGUCGCAGAACCUUUCCAUGUUCCUGGCCAACCACAACAGGAUCACCCAGGUGAGGGCAGACUCCUUGUUAGGCCUGGCCUGGUGUCUCGGGGUUAUAGGUAGGUGUGUAGAGGUUGGGUGGACCAUGAGCCCAAGCAGACAAGCUUAGUCUGCAGCUUCCAUCUCCACUGCCCUACAUGAGAGUGAAACGUAGCUGAGGACUUAAGUCUCUCCUCCCAACCCCAGGUGGCCGAUUCACCCUCUCCAGUUGUCAUGCUCAUGAAGCCCUCUCAGCCAGUGCUC